rnacentral:lncRNA from 1 species
GCCGGGGCUGACAGAGCCCAUUGUCGCUGGGCUCCGGGUGGGGGCAGCUGCGCAAACAUCGCUCUAGGCCGGACACAAAAUGACCAUUGACGCAGUGGGGCGGGGGAGGGGCGGCACUGUGACAGCCACACAGGGGGCAGCGGCUACGGGGUCCCCACCGCCACCUCUCAGCUCCGAGACCAGCCUGGGACACACAGCUGGGCGGAGGAAGGCUCAGUGGCACCCUGCAGGUUUGGUGACAAGUCGCAGUGGCAGCAGCGCUGGCCCUGAGUCUUGUGAAGUCAGAGCCACCCAGGCGGGAGCGGAGCCAGGGGCCCAGGAUGCCAUCCCUAGCCCCCCUUCCACAGGACGUUCUAAGGUUUUUUGUGUUUUUUUGUUUUUUGUUUUUUAAUUUCAGGGCUGCAGGAGGAUCAAAACUCUCACAGAAUUUGAGAUUCUCUCGAGGCUAAGACCAAAAUUUUCUCUGGGCAGCCCAUAUUUAUUGUUAUCAGAACAAGGGAGGGGAGUACUCAAGAAGGGUGGGAACCGCUCAAGGACUUCCCCAAGGGUUCUGAGCGCCUGUUGGACCCUCAGGGUUCCAUGACACCUACUUUGGGAACCAUUGUCCGGCAACUUUAUCUGAAAUCCUUUGCUGGACAUUUUACGCCUCCAUCUCCUCUCCUGUCCUGACCACUGAGUUUAGUUUGCCAUAGGUGUCUCCAUUCCUGAUUGCUCCACAAACUCUCUACAACUUCACCCCCAGGGAUUUAUUUAUUCUUUGAGACAGGGUCUCCCUGUGUAGCCCAGGCUGGCCUUGAACUUGUAACGAUCCUCCUGUCUCAGCCUCCCAAGUGCUAACAUCACAGGCGAAUGCACACUCUGCUUGCUUCUUUGGCUCUGGGGGAAUGAACCCUGCAGGCCUUUCUGAGGGGCACCUAGUAGUCAAGGUUUAGGAAACCCUACUCAGUGGAGUAUUACUCUGCCAUAAAGAAGGAACUUGAGUUAUUUGUAGGAAAGUGGAUGAACCUUGACACCAUCAUAUUAAGUGGAAUAAAUCAGGUACAAAUUUAAAUACUACAUGGUUUCUCUUAUGUGAGAAACCCAAAUUAUAAAGAACAAAAAAUAAAAGAUAAUAGAAGACAAGAGGAUAGAUCUUUCUGAGAUGGGGGAGCCAAGAGCGGGAGGGAGGGGAGAGGAGGAAGGGAGGGAGUUGAGGUGGGCUCCGCACAGGCCCCAGCUCCCCACGGCCACGUCAGCAUGUGUACCGCAGGCGCCUGCCAUGAAAAAUACAUUUUUGAAAACUGAAAGAAAUGAAACACCAUCUGCUCACUGCCUGGCCGGCUGCCCCGCCCACCCCUGCCAACAUGAGGAUGGGGUACAAGGCUCAGAGCCUCCCUGCUCCCCGAGUCCCUGCGCCUGUGCCACCCCUGGUGGGGGGGUGUCCCAGACAGAAUAACCACCUUAGAAAAGUAUGGACUAAAAACAUA